GUUUCUGUUCAUGGUCCAGAAAUAGACACACAAGCCCAAUCAAUCACAGAGAAAACUGGGAGAGAAGGGGGAGCACAUGGAUGGGGGUGGGUUCAAUGCAGAGGGUUAUUCCAUGAGGUGACUGUUUCCUUCUUGCCUACUUCCUAAUGUAUUUUUCAGAGCUGAAAUUCACACACGAAUCCAGAGCUUUUAGUCAGAAAGCUCUUUGGUUCUAGGUAAGUGGAUUCAGCAUCUUUCACAGUGUUUUUCUGCAUUGUACAUGAGAAAAUAGAAGUGAAUUAUUCAGACCAUUUGGCAUACUUUCAUUGUCAGUGGCAAAAAUUCAAAAUAACAACACUACAGUUGGGGAAACUAAUUAAAUGGACUGAAUGGCUCUUUAAAAAAAAAAGUCUUAGGCUUGUGUGUACAUACAUUUUAUUUUUGUAUUAUAUCACAGAUAAUUAGAACUAAAAUCACUCUCACGAUUGUUUGCUUGUGCAUUCUUAUCUCACCAUGUUGCACAGCAUUUGAAGCGUUCCUAAGAAGUUACAGAAUACUGCAGCAAUUGGUUCUUCCUGCUUUUUGUCCCCACUCCACCCUCAACCCUGGCAUGUAGGAGAUCUUUUUAAAUGCAAACCUGGUCAAGCCAUGUCUGCUCAAAAAGAAAACAAACAUUUUCUAAGACUGUAUUCUGUCCCCCCAAAUCCUUAGCCUGGCAGCAGAGUCUGCCAAGAUCCACCUUUCCAGACUGUGAUGUCUGUGCUUUGUGUCCAUCAAGCUAAGCUGGAUCUGUGCUUCCCAGGAUUCCCUUAUAAUUAACCCUGUGUAAUUCUGGGUUAAGGUUGGCCACAGAUAAAUUUGCUAUAAGGGAGAUGAAGGUGGGGAUCAUAAUAUUAGAAGAUUUCUAAUGAAAACUCAUAAGAUGGGAGGCCAAGAAUAUGUCAUAUGUCGACUACUACCAUGUACACAGCGUGUACUAUGUGACAGGUGCUGGUCCAAAAUUGUCGCUAACAUCCCUGGCAAUGGUCUGUUGAGUUCGGUCCUAUUAUUAAUCCCAUUUUACAUAUGUAUAAAAUGAGACUAAACCCCUUGCCCAAGAUCACCCAGUCAGGAUUUGGGCUCAUCUUAACUGUGUAAUUCCACAGCGCAUGCUUUUCAUUAUUAUUACAGUUGUAUGCUACUGAAAUUUCACAGUAUAUGGAAAUUUUCCGUUCUCUAGAAGACAUAUAGAAAGAGCUGCACCUGUGGCAUAUGGAAGUUCCCAGGCUAGGGGUUGAAUGGGAGCUGUAGCCACUGGCCUACACCACAACCACCACAACACCAGAUCCAAGCCACGUCUGCGACCUACACCACAGCUCACGGCAGCACCAGAUCCUUAACCCACUGAGCAAGGCCAGGGACCGAACCUGCAUCGUCAUGCAUACUAGUCAGAUUUGUUUCUGCUGAGCCUUGAUGGGAAUUCCAAGAUGACCUCUUUUUAAUUUUCAGCCAUCUCUUUACAAGCUUGGGGAUAAAACUAAACUCUACAGAAGACAGCUGACAGAAACUCAAAAUACUUAUACUCUAUUGGUUCUUGUAUAUGUGUGUGGCUAACAUUGCACUUUCUAAUUAACUACAGUGUUCCUUGAGAUCAAAGGGUCCCAUGGGGUGUGUCAUGGCAUGGUGAGGAUGGCCAAAGUUUUGCUGCAGUAGCAACUCCCACAUCUCUUAAAAGAAGUUCAUUCCUUUUCACAGUUGCUCUGUGGCCCUUGUGAGGUGGCUGUGGCUCUAUUCCAAUGGCCAUGUAGCAUAGUCUUCACUCUGGUAUUCAGGAUGAUCUGGAACAUUACUGGUCAUUGUAACAGAGGGAAAGAGCCAAGGCAGAGUAUGCACUGGCUCUUAAGACUCUGCUUGGAAGUGGCACAUCACUUCUGCUCUCCUCUCAUUGGCCAAAGCAAGAUAUACAGCCAUGUAAGGGUCCACAGGGAAAGAAAGUAUAAUCCUCCUAUUGGGAGGGCUGCUCAUUUGAGUGAGCAGUCCAUCAGUUUAUCAUGAGACAUUGAGCUCUUAGCCAUAGACUGUAGGGACAGAAGUGGAGUGACCAAAACCCUCUAGAUAUGUUUGGUCAUAAGCAAUCUUUCACAUUUACCCAGUGUUCUGCACAAAUAUCUUUUUCUGCACCAUGAAGUAAAAACAGUUAAGAAUCUUGACUUUGAUUGUCUUACUUAGUUCUCACAAGAAUCGGGGCACUAGGGCAUUGCUAGUUCGAGCCCAAAUCCAAUCAGCAAUACAAAGGCAGGAUUGGGUUUUGGAUUUUAGCCUCCAUGCCCCAGGUUCUUUUGGCUCUCAUAAGGGAUACUUUGCGUAGGUCAGUGAAAUCUCUGGCCUGAGGAGCCAGAGUCCUGGCCUGUAAGCCUCCUUCCUUCUGGCUUGAACUGGCCCAUUGACAGAGGUAGCUGUGACCACACAGGCUCAGUGAUAACCAGGGAGAGUGUUGAGAACAUAUAUGCUACAAACUGUAUUUUUUCUUCUUAUUAAGGCUCUGGAGACAAGAACAUGACAACAUUUUGGCAGCUGGGACUAUAGCCAUGUGUGAGAAGAAAGUGAUUUGCAUGAGCAAUGCAAAACCACCUGGUUUAUUCCAACUGACUCUGAACAAGUUAAAUGAAUCAAAUUCCCAGUUGGAUGCAAGAGGAAGCUAACUUACACACACACACGCACACACAGCC
rnacentral:lncRNA from 1 species